rnacentral:rRNA from 1 species
AACGAACGCUGGCGGCAUGCCUAACACAUGCAAGUCGAACGAAGCCUUCGGGCUUAGUGGCGCACGGGUGCGUAACGCGUGGGAAUCUGCCCUUGGGUUCGGAAUAACAGUUAGAAAUGACUGCUAAUACCGGAUGAUGUCUUCGGACCAAAGAUUUAUCGCCCAAGGAUGAGCCCGCGUAGGAUUAGGUAGUUGGUGGGGUAAUGGCCCACUAAGCCGACGAUCCUUAGCUGGUCUGAGAGGAUGAUCAGCCACACUGGGACUGAGACACGGCCCAGACUCCUACGGGAGGCAGCAGUGGGGAAUAUUGGACAAUGGGCGAAAGCUUGAUCCAGCAAUGCCGCGUGAGUGAUGAAGGCCUUAGGGUUGUAAAGCUCUUUUACCAGGGAUGAUAAUGACAGUACCUGGAGAAUAAGCUCCGGCUAACUCCGUGCCAGCAGCCGCCGUAA